AUUUCAUCUUCCUUAGCUGUAGGCCUGUGUGGAGACUCACAGAACUUAUGUGAACAAAGAAAAGAGGAAUAUCCUUUGGUUGGAAAAGCUGAACUGAGUGCACCCUGGAUGACAAACAAGUCACUUCUGAGGCUAGAAUAGCUUCCCUGGCACUCUCGUUCUUAGAUUGCUUGUUUUGGGAGAUGUCAUCCACCAUGCUGCGAGGACACUCAAGCAACCUAUGGAGUGGCCCACAUGGAGAGAAACUGAAGCCUCCUUCACACAACCAGCACCAAAAUGCCAGCCAUGACAAUUAGAAGUGGAUCUUCCAGCUCCAGUCAAACCGUAGAAAACUGUAGCCCCAGCUGAUACUUUGACUGUAACCUCAUGAGAAACUAUGAGCCAGAACCGGCCAGCUAAGCUGUUCUUGAAUUCUUGACCCACAGAAACUGUCAGAUAAUAAAUGCUUACCUUUGUUUCAAAUUA